CCCUUAGAUGUUCUGGGCCGCACGCGCGCUACACUGAUGCAUUCAACAAGCCUAGCCUUGACCGAGAGGUCCGGGUAAUCUUUGAAACUGCAUCGUGAUGGGGCUAGAUUAUUGCAAUUAUUAAUCUUCAACGAGGAAUGCCUAGUAAGCGUGAUUCAUCAAAUCGCGUUGAUUACGUCCCUGCCCUUUGUACACACCGCCCGUCGCUCCUACCGAUUGAAUGUGUUGGUGAGGAGCUCGGAUUGGCAGCAGUUGGUGGUUCGCCACCGGCUAUUGCUGAGAAGUCCUCCAAACCGCCCCAUUUAGAGGAAGAAGAAGUCGUAACA
rnacentral:rRNA from 1 species